CCUGCUGGGACCCGUAGCUGUCUGCCGCGGGGAGUGCUGGGAUUUGUAGUUUUAGUGAAACCGAAUGCUCCUGCUCUCCUCUUCACCUCCAGGAAACCAGAUGAAGCUUUUCUGAGGGAAGAUUACGAAGACGAGGUGAUCUGAAGCCCAGCCCUGAGGAUCACCCUGCACCCUGGGGUGAGCUGAGCAUCUGCUUCCUGGACACCAGUGCACAGUUGCCAUACCUGAUGGAGGAGCUUGGGACUUGACCACCAAAGACCUUGGAGCUCCAUGGAUGUGGAGAAUAUAUUAAGGAGGGCCAUGCAACCACGGGACAAACCCAGCAAGCAAUAAUUGAAGAAACAAGUGUCAAUUUAGAGCCAGGAAAUGCAGAAGAGGAGAAUGAGUAUCAGACAUGUUGAAGUUUGUGAAAACAACCAAGGCAAUGAAACAAAAGAAUACAUGGAGUCACCCUAUCUCUCCCACUAGCUUGCAUGUCCCUAAAUCUUUAUCCAAGGCCAAGGAAAGUGAGUGAUCCCCUCUGCUGGAACAUGAUGGGUACAAGCGCCAUGUUAAUCAACUCAUUUGUGUUAGACAACUCAAAUUCAUUGUAAUACAUAUAACUGGUCUAAUUACUUGGUGGUGCUGUUGUCUUAUAUGUGAAAUAGUAUGCUUUUAGCAUGAAUCUUUUAGGAGGUAAAUUCCUUGGAGUGUUGGGGAACCACCUGAUACUUCUAAACUGCCUAGGUCCCACCCAAGGCAACUACUGAAUCAUGCCUGAACUCAGUUUGCCCAUGGGAGACACUUUGUAAUCAAUUCUGACCUGACUAAUCUUCACCUGCAACCACUGACAAACAUGAACCAAAAUAUAGCAAUGACAAUAAUGGGGUUUUGAUAUGAUAAUGAUAAUAGGGGUUUCAGAAUACAGAUGUAUAUUUGGAGCAUAUUCUUGUAUUGAGCUUCUAUCCUGUAUUCCUCUCUGAACUCUAUUAGUGCUCUAUUUUUUAACCAAUGAGAAAAUUGAGUCUCAAAGAGCUCAGAAAAUUAUUUCCCAAAGCUGUAAACACCUAAGUAUGAGAAACAGAAUUCUCUGAUGUGGUAAGAUCUGCUCAACUUUCUAAAGCUCAAGUCCAUGACCUACUCUUCCAUCUGUUUCUCUGUGUUCACUGUGCUAUCUGUUUCCCUAUAUGCAAUAGUUUAUAAAAGUAUGUUGGGGAUCUCCCCUGGAGCUGCACACCCAAAAAAACCCCUCAAGCACAAGCUCCAGCCUUGGAUGGUUAUUUAAGGUCUGGCCCAUAGACUUGCCUCCUGGUUUCCCCUCUUUCCUGAGACCAACUGGAAAUGCUUAGAUUACAACUUGGACUUUAAUUAUUCCUUUUCUGAUUUUAUUGCAUCAGUGGAGUUACCCAAAACUAUGGUGUGUUAAUGUUUAUUUGCUAGUGCAUUGGCCAGGGUGAAUUGAGUCUUUCUGCUUAUUUCUGGUUAAUACUACAUAUAAGAGGAUGGGGGGGUCUAGGUCUAGGGUAGGUCAUAGUCCAGGUGUUGGAACUGUUCAUUGUUACAUAUUUUAAUUUGGA